rnacentral:rRNA from 1 species
AUUGAACGCUGCGGCAUGCUUACACAUGCAAGUCGAACGGCAGCACGGGCUUCGGCCUGGUGGCGAGUGGCGAACGGGUGAGUAAUGCAUCGGAACGUGCCCAUUUGUGGGGGAUAACUACGCGAAAGCGUGGCUAAUACCGCAUACGCCCUGAGGGGGAAAGCGGGGGAUUCUUCGGAACCUCGCGCAAUUGGAGCGGCCGAUGUCAGAUUAGCUUGUUGGUGAGGUAAAGGCUCACCAAGGCGACGAUCUGUAGCGGGUCUGAGAGGAUGAUCCGCCACACUGGGACUGAGACACGGCCCAGACUCCUACGGGAGGCAGCAGUGGGGAAUUUUGGACAAUGGGGGCAACCCUGAUCCAGCCAUGCCGCGUGAGUGAAGAAGACCUUCGGGUUGUAAAGCUCUUUCAGCCGGGAAGAAAACGCACUCUCUAAUAUAGGGUGUGGAUGACGGUACCGGAAGAAGAAGCACCGGCUAACUACGUG